GCUUUAUAGCCUGCGUUUGCACCAACAGGUUUAUACGAUUGUGUUUAGUGGAAGCGCGGUGAGAUGAUCUACAGUGCGCGCGGGACUACACUGACCUACACACCAGCUGGCAUCUGCAACAAGAAGGAUAAUUUUGCAUGUACACAUAAAAAUACUAUUUAUUACAUCUGCAGAAAACAUAGCAAUUGUCAAGUGAACCUUAAAUAAUUCUACCAUCAUGGAACUUGACGCGUCUAUCAUUCUCCCUGCGCUCUUCUUUACCAUUCUUGCUGUUGUCUUGGCAGCCAAAUUCAUCCCCAAAAAACAACCAGAGGAGAAGAAGAAGAGGGUUAAAGUAGGCAACGGAGACGACAUUCCACCUUCCAGAGGAUUGGCACCAGCAGUAGCAAUACUGGAAGUACCAAAAAUGGAGAUAGUACCAAAAGUGGAGGUACCCCCACAAGUGGUAGAAGCUGAAGUUAUACCCAAGCCAGUAACAGUUGCCCCAGUAGUUGAAGAGAUCAAUGUUGUAGAAGAAGAGACAGUUAAAGAGCCUGAAAUGAUCCCUGAGGUUCGGGCUGUGCCAGAGCCCAUGCCAGAGCCCGUGGUUGAGCCAGAACCUGUGCCUGAGCCCAUCCCUGAGCCAGAGCCCAUCCCAGUCGUUGUUGAGGAGCCCAUCCUUGAGCUCAUCGCGAACUUGAACCUGUAUCUGUGGUGAAGGAGGUCCCCGUCAGAGAGCCCACCCCUGAGCCAGCAAGGGAACCCAACCCCAAGCCAGCGAGGGAACCCACCCCUGAGCCCAUCUUCAUGCCAGAGCCAGAGGACCUUGAGAGCAACGCUGAGGAGGUGCACUUUACCCCAGGAAUGAAGAUUAGCAAGUUGGAGAAGAUGAUGACCAAGGAGGAGAUGGAGGAGGAGCAGAGGAUAGAGCUCACACCUGACUUUACCUCUCUAUAAGCAACAUCGACAAGCACACUGUGAGUUAGGAAGGAUUAUGGGUCUCUUGAAACUACUAAACCCUGAUGCAUGCUGAAGUAACAAUCCUGACAAUGUGCAGCUGAGUAGGCGAUGAAGAAACGGAAUGACUCAACACCCACACCUUUCUAUUCUUUACUUUGUUUUGUGAAAAGUGAUCACUGAAGAAGAACCUUUGAAACCUCUGCUGAGAAGAGUGAUCUCUUCUGUUGAUUGUCCGGCAACUUUGCUGUUGAUAUGGAAAAUAUAUGUUGCUUUUUGUCCUCUCCCCUUUUCUUUCCUUCUUUCUUACUUUGAAGGAUGUGAAUUAAAGGCUAUUGCUCAACUCUGCCUGUGAAUAGCAUGCUGCAUUACACCAAACACACAAGUGCCUAUGUGAAUCUUUAGUCCCCGCCCCUUCGCUUUCUAUCUGCUCUCUUACUGGUGGCGUCUAUCCUUUUGAUUAGAGCAGGAAUGAUUCAUUCUGGAUUCUGAGACUCUGAUAGUCGCAAAGGAACAUUUGAAGAUAAUACAUCCAUGCUUAUUACAGAGUAUGACGUGUGGGGUGUGCAAAAAAAGUUCCCGAAAAAAGUAAGGUCGGGAACCACUGGUUUAGAAGAAAUGGAUGACCAUUGCAAUACCAAUACAGUAAGGAAGUGUUUAAAUAGCUAUUAUGGGUGAAGGGGUAGGGAAGGGUUGUGUUGUUUUUCAUUGUUUUAAAAUAUGAAACUGUGAUUUAAAGACAUGACAAGUGAUUUGCAUGCAAAGGCCCCUCUACCCAAGUCUUUGUCUGUGUGGCCACUGUCCAUUGUGAGCCAGUCCCAGACACUUUAAGUAAUGUAACAAAUGCCAAUCAGUAACAUCCAAAUAGCCUACUGAUGGCAUUCUGAAUGCUGAGAAAACCAUAUAUCUCACUUCUGUCCUGACUCUGACGAUCACUGGGGCUUUUGUCACUUUAUAAGUAUGUAACCAAUGCACACUGACAAUGAAUGGGCUUCCUUUCAUAUGGGACUGGAGCUCGGUAGAUAGAAUGGCUAAAGUGGAAUAUGUGUAUGACAACCCGUAGUGAUUUUUGUAGAGGGAUUGAAAUGUUUUGUUUAAACAUUAUGUUUUUGGGCUUUUGUAAACUCUUGACUAUUAAAAGCCAGUUUGUCUAAAA